AGUAUUGCUUCCGCUGGUGGUCCACGGAGUCUGCAAUAGCCUUCGUGGGGCAAGAGGGAACCUGGUGCGAAUCCGGGACUGCCCCGCAGCGGUGAGCGGGAACGACAGCCGUCAGAAGCACUGGACACGACAGCGGUCCGGGAAGCGAUGGCCGGUAGGUCGGCACACGGUGCCGGUGCCCGCGAGUCCGAAGACCUGCCAUCGGCGCGCGCACACC
rnacentral:ncRNA from 2 species